AUGGAGACCGCAGGCAACGGCUCGGACGUGAAUUACCGGAGCCAGCUCCCCGUGCUUUUCAACAACAGCAGCUUCUGUGGAAACUUCACCGACCACAACACCACGAGCAAUGCGGAGCCGCGAUGCGACGGGGAUCGGGGACUUGCCAACAGUCUGUUAGACGACACCAACCCGGUUAUCAUAGCCAUUGUUAUCACCGCUCUGUACUCCAUAGUGUGCGUGGUGGGGCUAGUUGGAAACGUGUUGGUCAUGUAUAUCAUUGUCAGAUACACUAAAAUGAAGACCGCCACCAACAUCUACAUCUUCAACCUCGCUCUGGCCGACGCCUUGGUCACCAGCACACUACCAUUCCAGAGCGUCAACUACCUGAUGGGGACCUGGCCGUUUGGAGACAUACUGUGCAAGAUGGUGAUGUCCAUUGACUACUACAACAUGUUCACGUCUAUCUUUACACUCACCACCAUGAGCAUUGAUCGCUACGUCGCUGUGUGCCACCCAGUCAAAGCGCUGGACUUCAGGACACCGCGUAACGCCAAGAUUGUCAACGUCUGCAACUGGAUUCUCUCCUCGGCCAUCGGGCUGCCUGUAAUGUUCAUGGCCUCCACCGACCUCACUUCCUCCAGUAUUGUUGACUGCAAGCUGAUAUUCCCCCACCCCUCCUGGUACUGGGACACCCUGCUGAAGAUCUGCGUGUUCAUCUUUGCCUUCAUCAUGCCUGUCCUCAUCAUCACCGUCUGCUAUGGCCUCAUGAUCCUCCGGCUGAAGAGUGUGCGCAUGCUGUCGGGCUCCCAGGAGAAGGACAGAAACCUGCGUCGGAUCACCCGCAUGGUCCUGGUGGUGGUUGCCGUCUUCAUCGUAUGCUGGACACCCAUCCACAUCUUUGUCAUCAUCACAGCUCUGAUCAAUAUCCCCACCUCCACGCUGCAGACUAUCACCUGGCACUUCUGCAUUGCCCUGGGCUACACCAACAGUAGUCUGAACCCGGUUCUUUAUGGCUACCUUGAUGAGAACUUCAAGCGUUGUUUCCGUGAGUUUUGCACCCCGAGUCCCUCAGUGUUAGAGAUGCAGAACUCGUCCCGCACCGGAGUCACAAGCCGCAAGCUUCCACAGCGCGAACGCAACACUGGAAACACAGGAGAAAGGUCCAAUCAACAGGUAUGACUAGCCUUGGAGGGGUCGUCAGACUCUCGCUCUUGUGGGGGCGUUGCCAACGACGAUCUCAACUCAGAGGUCACGCAGGUCACCACGGGUCUCUGACCACAUAAACACAAAGUGACACAUACAUCAGACAAUCUAGGACACGAGGUCUGUGGCUCUCUCACCACAUGAAGACAUCACUGGACAUCCGGUGACAGAAAUGUCAUUUACAGCGCCAAAUGUGCUUUUUGCCCAGCUUCUGUAUGGAUUUCGAUCUAUUAACAUUGGUUUUCAUUGAUUGAUCUGCACAACACCAUGCUGGCUUUGAAGUAUUCAGGAAGACUCCCCUCUCAACCCACCGGACCCUUUGUUUUAAUUUCCUGGCCCCUCUGUCUUCAUUAUUUUCUUUUAUUCUUCUGUUUUUAUGUUGUCUCUGUAAAGAUGUCUUCUACCCUUUGCUGGAUUUAUCAUUAAAUAGACAUACAGUAGAGCACUGUGUGUUCUCUCUGCUGAAUUUGACACACUUCUGAAUGUACAGAAGGGAAACCCGCUGUGUUACUUACACUGGAUCCUUGUACUGGUCAUCUAAACCAGUACACACAAGGCCUGUUUACACAGCACACAUCGUGCUAUUGCGACAUACAGUGUGAACACAUGGUACUACCAGUGAAUGAUUAACUACAACUUAACAGCCAUUACACCAGGUAUGGGUUCUGAAGAUGUUAACAAGUGAGCCAAGCAGGAUUGUACAUAUGUUGUAAUCUUUAGAAUUGCUUGUGCUUACAUGUAUUGCUGUAUUAUAAACUUGCCAGUUGCCUUUACAGUAGCUCUACUUGAUAUUAUGUGUACCAGUAUUUUUUUAACGAUCUGUAAAGAUGAACAUGAUUGUAUUUAUCUCCCAUGUAAAAUACUAUAACUACUCUAUUGCUGAAAAUUAUUUCUGAUGAUCAUGGUGGACGAGCAAUUUAUUGUGCUUCUAAAUAUAACAUUUGUCAUAUUGAAUCUCAGUUGUUAACUGAAGCGAUGUACCGUAUAUUAAUCAGAAAACAACGUGCAAUGUACAAUGCACCUUUCUCAUAUUAUGCUCAUUUUUAGGUUCAUAAUGUUAGAGUAUUUAGAGGUUUUACCAGAAUAGGUUUACAUGGUUUAAUUUAAAAAAAAAACACCACAUUUUUGUUGUAUUGCACAUUUCUGCAGCUCCUCUUUUCACCCUAUGUGUUGAGCUCUCUGGUUUAGCUGCAGAGUGAGAAACCACACUUCUGUUCAAUCUUUGUUGUGAGUCACACAUGCGUAAUACCGUAUGUUCCGUAAUAUAAGUCACACUUUUUUUCUUUGUUUGGCUGGUCCUGUGACCUAUAGUUAGGUGCGACUUAUACAUCAAAAUAUAUUAGUAUUGUCCAACAAUUAAAAUAUUUAAUUGCGAUUACUCGCGUUAAUGUCAUAGUUAAUUUGCAAUUAUUGCAAUUAAUUGAACAUUUUUAUCUAUUCUAAAUGUCCCUUGAUUUCUUUUUGUCCCAGAAUUUGCAUAAGCUGUGUGCUUGGCGAUCAAGUAGUAUUUCAGACUGGACGUGCCGCGAUGAUAGCUCAGUUCCAAUACCGAUACAGAGCUAAGCGAGCAUUAUAAAUUGUUACAAAGUGAUGGACGUUCAUCACGGAAGUAAAGGCUGGACUCAUGGCCACACUGCAUCCAUCACGCUCCACAAGUGGAAAAAAUUAAAACAAGCAUGAAAUCGAAAACCAGGUUAAAACUAGGCAUGGGUAACACAGGAAAUAGGCACAAAGCUACGACAAUGGAACAGAAUAGGCCUACUACAAGCUCGUUACUUGGUCUUGUCUGAAAUUUACUUUAUUUUGGGCUAAUGUUAACGUUAAUGUCUCAAACCUCUCAAAUGUAAGUUAGAGGACUCAUGUUUGAAUUCGCACAGAAUCACAAUUUAAUUCACAUCUUGCUACUUAGUCAGAAUGUUAUUAACCCAGUCUCUGUCACAAUAAUCAUAUGUGAUGUUUAAGCCUAUAGGCAGACAUCCAGUUGAAAAGUAGGCAAUGGCAUAUAAAGAGCCAUUUUUCCAUGUCCACUGAAGUUUCUUAGUGUGCACUCUGUGACGGCUUCUAGGCCUAUUACAUCCCUUUGGUUGCUGGGAUCUGGGGAUUGGGGAAUGAGGACUGGUGAUUUACACCUGGAUGAACUGAUUGCUCACAGGUGCUUGGGCAGUCAUUCUGUCUCUCGCCCUCCUCAAAGUUGCUUGGUUUAUUUGGACUUUGGGUUUACUUACUUUUGUGUUCUAGCCUUGAUACAUCUACACACAUCCAUACAUUACACACAUUACCGAUUAACUGAUUGCACGUUUAUCUUUGUUUAUUUUAUUAAAUUGGAUUUAAUUGAACAAACAUGUGUGUUCUCCACCUUUUGUCAUACCUUUGAACCAGGUCAUUACAACUUUAGUGACAUAUAUGUGGUCCAGGUAGCUUUGGCUACAAGGCUACUUUUACUUUUAUACUUUAAGUAAAUUUCCAGGCCAGUACUUUGUUACUUGUACUUGAGUAAAGAAGUUAAAUCAGUACUUCUAAUUUUAUCAGAGUAUUUUUUAACACAUACCGGUACUUCUACUUAAGUACGGUAAGUGAGUACUUUUGCCAUCUCUGCUUUUACAUGUACUGUAUAUAAUAACCAUUUUGCAGCAGGCACUUGGUGCAAUAUACAGAAUACACUCUUGGAGGUAAGUUUAACUAAAAUGUAUAAGAUGCUGUCCAUGAUAUGUACACAUGCCACCAUUAAACUGUUUUCUGUAAUUUGCUUAUUUACAUGACUUGUGAUUCAAUCAUUACUUAACUUAGUCUUAGUCUUAAAUUGGCAUUUUUUGUGAUCUAAUGUACAGAAGAUAAUGUCUACUCUAUGUACAACACUAUAACACAAUACAUAAAAUAUAUACUGUUAAUCCAUGCAUUGUCUGUUAUAAAAUGUAAUUCUAAAUCUUAAUGAAUGCCUUUGUGUCU